GGGCUGUUGGUUUAGUGGUAUAAUACCCGCUUAGCAUGGCUUCACGAGUUCCACUCUAAGGGCACGAGCAUGCGGGUGGUCCGGAGUUCGAUUCUCCGACAGUCCA